rnacentral:miRNA from 1 species
UACAAAAUCGGUUCUUAGAUAGUCAAUGUUAAAAGUAGAACUUUUAAAAUCGGCUAUUUAAGAACCAAUUUUAAA